UCAGAAAGUAUAAUAACUGAUUUAACAUGGUUUAGAAGCUGUACCAUUUGCUCUAAACAAUUUAUAUAUGGGACAUAUUGUUCAGUAUGGAGAACCCCAAACAAUGUGUACGUUUUGCUUUUGAGAAUGAGUUUGGCGGUUCAAAGCGUUGUCAGCCUCAUUUGAUUGACCUUAGGUAAUGAAUAUUUUUUGUAUUUUUCAGUUAUUAUAUAAACAAUGAUAUGAACAUGUUCAAAAGUUUUUAUUUUAGAUCAAAUAACCCACAUUGACAAAUAUAUAAGCUUAUGUAGAAGUGGAUGGAUACUGACCCAUGUGUUCAUAGAAAUUUCGAAGAUAAAGCCCGAAAUGCUAUGAGGAUGAUAGCCAAUAUUGUAGUUUAAAAUUUUGCAUAUGCUGUUUCAAAGGUACUGAUUGUUGUAUAUUGAAGAAGUAUACUCAUAAAAUGUGGUAACUAAUGGCUGUAGCAUGCCCAAGGUAAUGUUGUAUACACAUGGUCAAAACCAGAUGUUCCUGAAACAUUUUAUUAAAAGGGUGUCUAUAUCUAUAGCGAUUACUAUAUUUUAAAUGUUUUGUAAAUAUGUUUUAAUUUUUGAUGACCUUGUUUUAAUAUAUAUAUGUUGUAGGGAUUAGGAGUUCAUACCUCAAAUCUGAAUAAAGCUUUCUGUAUUCUGUAUUAAAACAAGAAAAAACUAUUCAGUAUUUACCAAGAAAAGUAACAUUACAUUGAAGUUUCUUUCCACUAAGCUGUGACAUACAGAUGACUGUAUGGAUGAAUGCAAUGUAGGGUUAUUAUCUGAGUCAUUGAUUGUUGUGGUCUCUCGGGCAAGUUCGACAGUACUUAAAAUUAAAAAUCUAAACAUAGCACUAAAGGCUACCUUCCACCCUACUACCCAAUCACAUUCUUACCAAAAUGUAAUUAGUACAGUGAAUGAUUUUACAGCUAUAACAAUAAAUUGAAGUCAGGUUGACAUAUUAAUAUAUCAUUUCAUGAUUCAACUACGCAAGUAAAGAAAAGAAAUGUUAAUAUGUACUCUGGAAAAAUGAUCUUAAAAUGUAUGAAGCGUAAUGAAUACCGCAAAGUAAGUUUUUAUGCCUUUUUAGUUGCUUGGAUCUCAUUACUUGGUAAUAUGGGCAUAAGUUGCAACUUGUCAUUGAAUUUGUGAAAUACAAUAGGAAUUAAAAAGCACCUGAUAACUCCGUUCGAAUAAUAGUAACAGAAGCAGGCUCAUAUUGCAAAUGAAUUGAUUUAAUGGAAGAUGUGAAAUUCAAAAGAUGGCCGUCUUGUAGAAAUGGGAAACGCAUUUAGCUACUUUUAUACCACGAAGAGUAGCGAAACAAUUUUCCGAUUCAAAAUUUAAACCUCUUUUGAUCACUUGUGUGGAGUCUAAUUGCUGCGUUAUUCAAGAUUGUACGAUUAAUUUAUCAUACUUGAAAAGUAUAUACGCGUAUAGCAAUUUUAGUUUUCAUAGCUUUAAAUAUGUCCAUAAUAUUUGUGUCAAACAAAUUAAGUAAUUCAUUGUAGAUAUCAAAUUCAAACUUUGAUCUUCCUCUUUCAUUUUCAAAUAUGCUCCUUAAUUGUAGCAUCAGGGACAAGGAUGAGGGCUCAUGGUGUUGCCCUUAUAAGAAAACAAUAUUGAAGUACUUUCCAUUCAAAAACAAUAGAGUUUUUAGCAAACAAAGUCGAAUUGGCCUAUAAACUAUCUUAAGCAGCCAUCAACUGGAGCGACUCAGCGUGACUGCUUAAAAAAGAUGGCUGCUUUGGUCAGGCUGAAAUUAAUUUGUUGAUUAGCUACUUAAUACAGAUCGCUAAGGCAGGAUUUACUCUAUACCUCUAUUACGGUUAUAUAGAUUAUAUUUUUAUCUAAUGUGUGCAAAAUGUCUCCCUAAAUCUUCAUUUUAGCUUUUCGAAGAAUAAGGAGAGCUAUCCUACUCACAACAGCGUCGUCGUCACACCUUGGUGAAUUUUUUCGUAUCAGUUCAAAUUUCACAAAUCCUUUUGUCAUAUAGCUUUGAAACUUUCAACACUUGUGUACCAUCACCUUGUCAAGUUUAAGGCUAGAGUACACAACUCUGUCAAGGAUUUUGACUGAAUUAUGGCCCAUUUUAACGUACACAUCUUGGUGUUAAGUAUUUCGUACCAGUUCAUAUUUAGUGUAAACUGUUUUACAUAUAUCUUUGAAACGGUGACAAAGCGUAAUAACAAAAAGGGUAAACUAUACCUCUCACAUGUACAUCUAGUUACAGUGUUAAAACCGCAAUGUUGUAAAAGUUGCUAAUCGUUAAUUAAAAACUGAUAUAAAAUACACUAAAGCUCAAUCAAAGCAAGAGCUCUGCGUAAGACAGCAAAGACAGAACGCAUGACUUUCCUCGGCUAGAGCUGGGCUUAAUUCUAUCAAAUAUCGGAGGAAGCAAUAAAACAGAUCAGACGAGGAUAUGAGGUUUGUGCCAUUGUUUGCAUAUAUUAGUAAACUGUAUUUUUUGUAGAUUUGUAUUUCAGAAGAAACUGUAGGAACGUAUCCAGGUUGAUAUUUUGGUCUUAAACACAACAUACCCCCGCCUCCUCCCCUUCAUAAAAACUGUUAUAGAUUUAAAUCAUUUGCGCAAAUCAUUUAGAUUACAUACUUACGAGGACAUGUUUGAAAAAUUAUCAGACCUCGACGUUUCAGUCGUUCAAUUAAGACGUUCCUUUCUAUGAUGAAAUUUGUUAGCAAGUGGAGUGAUUGAUAAAACACUUCAUUCUGUUGCAUGGGCCCGUCUUAUCAAGAUACUUACGAGAAUAUUUCUCGUAUCUUUCUCGUAAGUCUCUCGCAAGGUUCUCGUAAGUUUGAUAGGUGUCUUAUGAAAAUUAUCGUAGCUACGAUAUCGUAAGUUUCUACAUAAAAUCCUCGUAAAGUUACGAGAGGGUUAGGGGUCUCGUAAAUAUUUACGAUAUCGUAAAUAAAAUGGCGGCAUCCGUGUGAGCAACCACGACGAAACUUUCUGUCGAAAAUACUGCAGAUUGUUCAGCAGUAAAACUUGAUUUUCCGUGUACAUGUUGCACAACAGUGGAUGAACUACGUCAUCGAUCAUACAAAAGCACGCGCUUUGGGUCAGUGCGACACGAAGCGGAAGCGAGUGUAAAGGAAAUAUUGAGCACAUAAAUUCUGUUUAUCUUCGCUGUUUCCUGUGUUGACAGAUCAAUUGGAGGGACAUGCUGGUAAUAAUUAUUGUAGAAAUAUUCGGUUAUUUAGGUAUAAUUUUAUGAGUGUCGAUAUUGCAGACAUUCAUCAACAGUUAUUUGGGGUCGACUCGUACCCUGUUUACUUCGUAUCAGUGUUUUUUAUUAUCUAUAUAAUAAAAGAAACUGAAUGUGCAUGAGACUUGAUUUUAAUAGAUGUAGGUGGGUAGAGUAUAAGGGUGCACUUAUACUUCCUUACUAUUGAGCUAGCUUUUAUAGCGACGUGGUAGAGUGUCCGCCUUAGGUGUGAGAGGUCCCGGGUUCGAUUCCCAGUCAGGGCUGAAGUAUGAUCAGCCUGUUACAUAUAAAAAUAAAUUAAAUAGGCAUCAAUGAUCUAUAUUUGAUACGGACAAAUGCCUGCAAUCGAAGGGUAUGUUUGACAGUAUUGCAACUGUAACAGUCUCAGGAAAAAUGUGCAGCCUUGACUGGGUUUCAAAUCUCGGACCUUCUGCUUACCAUGCCAAAGCUCUACCAACUGAGCUACAUGUACCGAGGCCACCCGAUACGAGAACCGCUACACACCUUCCCUCUUAUUGCGAGACAUUAGCACUCCUGGCCAAUGUCUGCUGCAGACUGUUAAAUGAAUGCAGAUUCACACCCCAUCCAAACUGCUUUGCUGAAUGGGCUCCAAGGGUGAGCAUCCUGGACGAGCCGCCAAAUGUAACAGUCUCAGGAAAAAUGUGCAGCCUCGAUGGGGAUUCAAACCUCGGACCUUCGGCUUACCAUGCCAACGCUCUACCAAUUGAGCUACCGAGGCCACCCGAUACGAGAACCACUUAUUCAGCGACACAACUUAUAUGACCUGUCUGUAUUGAACAUAUGUCUACUGGAUAAUAAAGUCAAGGAAUUCUCUUGCCCUCCAAUAAAUUAACUGAAAGCCACCUAGCCUGCAUGAUAGUCAUCAGGUAACCCAAUGCCUAGUUGAGAGUCCUCUAGGGGUUUUGUAUCUGGCUUGAAAUCUUGAUUUGACAUAUUUGUGAUAUUACAUAUGUUAUGCAAUGUAAGUUACAAAUGAAACAUUCUUAUCACACAAGCUUGGUAUCACAGUUUAUUAUAAUAUCUUUAAAACUAUUUAUGUUGCAGAAUGCUAGAAGAAAUUACAGACAACAAUACUGCUCAGUGCAGUAACCAGACCUAAAAAAAAAACACUGCUCAAGGCAAACUUUUGGGACAGAGUGCUGCAUACAUGGGCUUAUGCACAAACUGAGAUUUUGCAAGUCAACUGUCAAAGUCAUAAAGAGAGAUCUAUAGUAGACAAUGUUGAACAGAGUUGAAGUCCUGGAAUCUCGGUCAACUGCAGAUAACAGCAUGGCGUAAAGCAGACGUCUUGUUUCCCAGUCCACUUUUAGUCAGGUAUUCUUGGUGGUAUGAAACUGCAGUCAACACAGGUUUUUAGAGGUCUGCAAGUACAGAGUUUUAAAUUGUGAAAUAAAACCUCUAACCAGUUAGCAGAGUGUGUGUGUAUUAUGCUGUGCUGAGAUAUUGCUGUGACAUACGGUGCAUUAAGGUCCAUAACCUGGUAUUAUAUGUGUUGACAACUGUACAAGACAUCCUAUUGAAGACAGUUGUGAGUGAGCAACAGCCCAAGACACCUUGUUAAUGCUGCCCUGUUACCUACUUAGUUUCUACAUACAAGUCAAGUAUCCAUCAAAGAUUGGCCAUGGUGUUUACAGAACUGAAAGCCAAGCUGUGAUUUUUGAAAAUUUAUUAUAAAGUUCUAAAUGAAAAUACAAUUUGAAAAGCACAAACAACUUCUUGUAUUUUUAAGCUACCACUUAACCAUAGUGUUAAUUGGUUGAUUACAGACAUAAAUGUAUGCCGUGAAGUUCAGUUUAAAAUGACUAAAUAUAAACGCUGUAACAGGAGGAUUGGUCAGUAGAUGAAAGGUCAAGCUCUAAGGCCAUUAUUCACAAGCCAAAUGCUUUUGUGUCUCUGAAUCUCGUAUAGAGAGAUGUCAAAAGGUCAUAUUUAUGCCCAACUUUGAAGAAUAUGUGGUGAAUUGUUUUGCUCAUUGUUGGUCUGUCGGCGUCGUUUUAAUUGGAAUGGUCUCUGUCCUGACGUUCGUCCGUAACAUUUCUAUCGCUAAGUAUAUAUCCUAAACCCCUCCAAGGAUUUUCAUGAAACUUGGGUCAAAUGAUCACCUCAUUGAAACAUUGUGCAGAACUUAUGAGUCAACCGUGUCUGCUCUGUGUCUCCUUAACCCCUUGAAGGACUUUCAUGAAACUUGGGUCAAAUGGUCAUCUCAUCAAGACAAUAUGCAGACCUCGCGAGUCAGCCGUGUUGGCUCAGUGUCAAAGGUUUGAGCUCUGUAUCUCUCAAACCCCUUGAAUUAUUUUCAUGAAACUUUGGUCAAUUGAU
rnacentral:tRNA from 1 species